GAAAUGCGAUAAGUAGUGUGAAUCGCAGAAUUCAGUGAAUCAUCGAAUCUUUGAACGCACAUUGCGCCCCUUGGUAUUCCAUGGGGCAUGCCUGUUCGAGCGUCAUUUGUACCCUCAAGCUCUGCUUGGUGUUGGGUGUUUGUCCCCGUCUCCGCGCGUGGACUCGCCCCAAAGUGAUUGGCAGCCGGCGUACUGGUCCCGGAGCGCAGCACAUGUCGCGCAAACGAGUGCCUUGGUACGGCGGCGUCCAUAAGCCCCUCUCUCACGCUCUUGACCUCGGAUCAGGUAGGGAUACCCGCUGAACUUAAGC
rnacentral:misc_RNA from 1 species